rnacentral:rRNA from 1 species
UGCAGUCGAACGGCAGCACGGGUGCUUGCACCUGGUGGCGAGUGGCGUACGGGUGAGUAAUAUAUCGGAACGUACCUUAUCGUGGGGGAUAACGCAGCGAAAGCUGUGCUAAUACCGCAUAAGCCCUAAGGGGGAAAGCAGGGGACCGUAAGGCCUUGCGCGAUUAGAGCGGCCGAUACCUGAUUAGCUAGUUGGUGAGGUAAAGGCUCACCAAGGCAACGAUCAGUAGCUGGUCUGAGAGGACGAUCAGCCACACUGGGACUGAGACACGGCCCAGACUCCUACGGGAGGCAGCAGUGGGGAAUUUUGGACAAUGGGGGCAACCCUGAUCCAGCAAUGCCGCGUGAGUGAAGAAGGCCUUCGGGUUGUAAAGCUCUUUUGUCAGGGAAGAAACAGCAGCUCUAAUACAGUCUGCGAAUGACGAUACCUGAAGAAUAAGCACCGGCUAACUACGUGCCAGCAGCCGCGGUAAUACGUAGGGUGCAAGCGUUAAUCGGAAUUACUGGGCGUAAAGCGUGCGCAGGCGGUUAUGUAAGACAGGCGUGAAAUCCCCGGGCUCAACCUGGGAAUUGCGCUUGUGACUGCAUAGCUAGAGUAUGUCAGAGGGGGGUAGAAUUCCACGUGUAGCAGUGAAAUGCGUAGAGAUGUGGAGGAAUACCAAUGGCGAAGGCAGCCCCCUGGGAUAAUACUGACGCUCAUGCACGAAAGCGUGGGGAGCAAACAGGAUUAGAUACCCUGGUAGUCCACGCCCCUAACGAUGCUGACUAGUUGUUCGGGAA